AACGCACAUUGCGCCCAUAGGUAUUCCUUUGGGCAUGUCUGUUUGAGCGUCAUUACAACCCUCAGCGCAAGCUGGUUAUGAGUUGGCUGCAACCUUGUUCCGAAAGGGACAGGUGAAAUCCGGCUUUAAAGUUGUAUGCUCUGCUGGCUGCUUUGCCUGACCAAAACAUAGUAAAACUUACGACUGUUUACAGAACGGCUUUGCAUGCUCGGCCUGAAUAAAACCCAACAUUUCUUAGGUUUGACCUCAGAUCAGAUAAGGAUACCCGCUGAACUUAA
rnacentral:misc_RNA from 1 species